rnacentral:rRNA from 1 species
UACGCAGGGUGCGGGCGUUAAUCGGAAUUACUGGGCGUAAAGCGUGCGCAGGCGGUUAUGUAAGACAGAGGUGAAAUUCCUGGGCUCAACCUUGGAAUUGCCUUUGUGAUUUUAUGACUAGAGUACGGCAGAGGGGGAUGGAAUUUCGCGUGUAGCAGUGAAAAGCGUAGAUAUGCGGAGGAACACCGAUGGCGAAGGCAAUCCCCUGGGCCUGUACUGACGCUCAUGCACGAAAGCGUGGGGAGCAAACAGG